rnacentral:rRNA from 1 species
GACGAACGCUGGCGGCGUGCUUAACACAUGCAAGUCGAACGGUGAAGCGCCUUCCUUUUUGGUGGGUGUGGAUGAGUGGCGAACGGGUGAGUAACACGUGAGUAACCUGCCCCCUUCUUCUGGAUAACCGCAUGAAAGUGUGGCUAAUACGGGAUAUUCUGGGUCUGUCGCAUGAUGGGUCUGGGAAAGAUAUUGUUUCGGUGGGGGAUGGGCUCGCGGCCUAUCAGCUUGUUGGUGGGGUGAUGGCCUACCAAGGCGGUGACGGGUAGCCGGCCUGAGAGGGUGGACGGUCACACUGGGACUGGGACACGGCCCAGACUCCUACGGGAGGCAGCAGUGGGGAAUAUUGCACAAUGGGCGCAAGCCUGAUGCAGCGACGCCGCGUGAGGGAUGGAGGCCUGCGGGUUGUGAACCUCUUUAGCCAGUGAAGCAGGCCUGCCUCGUUUGUGGGUGGGUUGACGGUAGCUGGAGAAGAAGCGCCGGCUAACUACGUG